UUUAGCACCAACUUUUGCUCGCACACGAGAACGACCUGGUGACGGACUCCGCGAAAAUCUCACCGAUUUUGUUGAUGUUUGCCACAGAUUUUGGCCCUAUAAAUACCCCCAUAAUCCCCUUUAUUUUUGCCCCUCUGAAACCCUAAUUUUGGUGCCGCUAGGCUGCCCAAUUUUUCCGUCGAAGUUGCGCCGCCGCCGCUGCCAUUGGAGCUCGAUUUGAGCUCGAACUCGAGAGCACCAGGCCGCCGGCAAUUUGACGCCGGUGCUUCCACGGAGUUCACCGACGUCUGCCACCUCCGUCCGUCCGUAGACAUCUCCUGGAGCCCCGCCGAACGACACCGAGACGUCCACCGAUUUCUCCGUUGACCACCCCCUUCUCGCCGUCAAGACCGCGCAGCCGAAGACCCGCCGGAACGCCGUCAAGCACCUCCAUCUGCACCGUCGCCGGCGUCGUCAACAGUGAGCAUCACCAGCGUCAACUCAGGGCCGUCGGAUCUGCAUCAACGGCACAGAUCAGGCCACAUGGGCGCACAGUCAGCUCAAGGUCCAAGUCUCCUUGGCGGUCAAUGCCGCGUCAGCGGUCAAAGCCAGUUAACAGUUGGUCCGAAUUAAAAAUAGCAGAAAAGUAGAUUAACUUGUAAAACUCAUAGAAAAUAAUCUACGCAUCAGUUUUGAGCAUACAAUAUACCGUUGGAUUCAGAAAAUUGAGAAGAACACUUCAGACAUGUUAGUUUACACUUUUACGAAACUUACAAAUUUUCAAAUUUCAAAUAGUGUUUAUAGUAUUUUUAAUAUAUUUUAAAUUCCGUAAAUUAUUUUAGUAUGAU